CGCGGGCGCCCGGCCGCCAGGACGCACGGCGAGGGCAGCGCUGGGGUGGGCGGGCAGCGAGGCCCUGGUCCCUGGCGGCCUCGGAAGGGUCGUGGGAGACGAAGGACUGUUCCCGUCUCCCGUCCGUGCUGUUUGCAUUUCUUUGCCAGAGGUAUUGAAGCUGAAGAUGUGCACAUCCUUUGACCCAGCAUCAAGGAAACUAAAUGACCAUUCACAGAAAUACACACUGCACAAGUAAUAAAAAUAAUACCCAACCUUUACUGAGUGCCUGCUCCAUGUCUUUCAUAUUAUAGCCACUGGGGAUGCAUGAAUGAGCC
rnacentral:lncRNA from 1 species